rnacentral:rRNA from 1 species
CUACGGGGGGCUCCAGUGAGGAGUUUUGCGCAAUGGGGGAAACCCUGACGCAGCAACGCCGCGUGAGCGAAGAAGGCCUUCGGGUCGUAAAGCUCUGUCAAGUGGGAAAAACGUUUUCCGGUUAAUAGCCGGGAGAUCUGAUGGUACCAUUGAAGGAAGCACCGGCUAACUCCGUGCCAGCAGCCGCGGUAAUACGGAGGGUGCAAGCGUUGUUCGGAAUUAUUGGGCGUAAAGAGCGUGUAGGCGGUUUGGUAAGUCAGAUGUGAAAGCCCUGGGCUCAACCCGGGAAGUGCAUUUGAAACUGCUUUACUGGAGUAUGGGAGAGGAGAGUGGAAUUCCUGGUGUAGAGGUGAAAUUCGUAGAUAUCAGGAGGAACAUCUGUGGCGAAGGCGACUCUCUGGACCAAUACUGACGCUGAGACGCGAAAGCGUGGGUAGCAAACAGGAUUAGAUACCCUUGUAGUC